AUUGAACGCUGGCGGCAGGCCUAACACAUGCAAGUCGAACGAGUGGCGUACGGGUGAGUAAUGUCUGGGACACUGCCUGAUGGAUGGCGAUAACUACUGGACACGGUAGCUACUACCGCCUCCCUUCAGCUGUGCCCAGAUGGGAUUAGCUUGUUGGUGGGGUAACGGCUGACCAAGGCGACGAUCCCUUGCUGGUCUGUGAGGAUGACCAGCCACACUGGAACUGAGACACGGUCCAGACUCCUACGGGAGGCAGCAGUGGGGAAUAUUGCACAAUGGGCGCAAGCCUGAUGCAGCCAUGCCGCGUGUAUGAAGAAGGCCUUCGGGUUGUAAAGUACUUUCAGCGGGGAGGCGUUACCCGCAGAAGAAGCACCGGCUAACUCCGUGCCAGCAGCCGCGGUAAUAC
rnacentral:rRNA from 1 species